GGGUUGUAUGCGAAUGUGUUCAUAUUUAUAUUUUGGUGAUAACCAUUGAUGUGGGUGCAUCUUUUGGCUGUAAUAUAAGCAAUUCAGUGGAAACAUACCUCCUUGCUAAUAUUUUAAUAGUUUGGAUAAUUAGUCCUCUUAGAGGCAUUAUACUUUAUGUACUCUGUUGCUUUAUGUGUCAUUUUUAAUUGAACAUAAGGGAAUGUAGUAUUUUAAUCAUAACUCUACCAAUAUCUUUAUCUUGAAGCCUGUUGCUAUUUUUGUCUUUUAUGUAAUUUUAUCGCUAAGAAAGGCAGGAUUACAUUUUUUUUCCUUCCAGAUCGAGUUGGUGUAGUAUAUUCUUGGUUAUCAAAAUGUGUAGAUACACAAACGAAAUCUAGAAGGACAUAUCAACCUGUAAACUGCUUGAUUAUGGAUGACUUUGUUUUUUGCUUCCUAUUUGCUUGUGUUUUUCAGUUUCCUAUUAUGCACAUGUUAACUUUUAAGAAAUAAAUUUUACUUAAAAAAGCCUUCAUGAAGUCGCCAUUGCUUGUUAAGUUAGCAUACUCCAUAGAAGCAUAGCGUUCACAUCCUGCCUGCCUAGGCUAAAGUAUCUGAAGUUUUUACCUCCUAUGAUGCCUUCCACUACUUAGAUGUUAACCCACACCCCACAACCUGUGCCUUGGUGUUCAAGAUAACUCUGCACUUUGCUGGUUCCAGCUUUGCUCAAGCUAUGGCCUGUGGUGCCCUCUCCCCAUUCUUCACCGAGCAAACUCAUUCUUCAUUGCCCUAUCAAAUUGUAAUGUAGAUGCAGUCUUGCAGACUGACACCCCAGAAUUAAAGUGCUAGAAUCGAAUGUCAGAAAUUAUGCCCUUUUCUUUGUAGCUCCUACUUGCCUCUUGUAUAUAGAACCCACUUGUACUGUUACUGUUACCUGGAAGUACUGGAUUGAGUCUAGGCUUAAAUCGUAUGACAGAGUGCAACACAAUGCCUGAUAACAUACUAGGGGCUUAGGAAGUGUCCACUGAAUACAAGGGAGACAAAGGUCAGCUUUGGGGACUGAUUUUAUGGCAUAGGUGCUACAGGCACAGGUUGAAUAGUCAGGGCUUCCCAAGCUGACAGUUCCUAUCAUAGCUCACCAAACUAGAGGGUAAAGGUUGAAUGCUAAUCAGGCAUAAAACAUGGCAGGGCUUCUCAUUCCCAACUCAGGAUGAGGCUAGAGACAUGCCUGCCUCCAAAUGUAGGGAGGUAGCAUUUCCAGUGUUUGCCUGGCUGCUGUUGGUAU
rnacentral:lncRNA from 1 species